AGCGUAGACGGCUGUGCAAGUCUGAAGUGAAAGGCAUGGGCUCAACCUGUGGACUGCUUUGGAAACUGUGCAGCUAGAGUGUCGGAGAGGUAAGUGGAAUUCCUAGUGUAGCGGUGAAAUGCGUAGAUAUUAGGAGGAACACCAGUGGCGAAGGCGGCUUACUGGACGAUGACUGACGUUGAGGCUCGAAAGCGUGGGAGCAAACA
rnacentral:rRNA from 1 species